rnacentral:rRNA from 1 species
UACGGGGGGAGCAAGCGUUGUUCGGAUUUACUGGGCGUAAAGGGCGCGUAGGCGGUCGUGACAAGUCACUUGUGAAAUCUCCGGGCUUAACUCGGAACGGUCAAGUGAUACUGUCGGACUAGAGUACAGAAGGGGCAACUGGAAUUCUCGGUGUAGCGGUGAAAUGCGUAGAGAUCAGGAGGAACACCCGUGGCGAAGGCGGCUCUCUGGGACGGCCCUGACGCUGAGGCGCGAAAGCGUGGGGAGCAAACGGG